GAUGAACGCUGGCGGCGUGCCUAAUACAUGCAAGUCGAGCGAACAGAUGAGGAGCUUGCUCCUCUGACGUUAGCGGCGGACGGGUGAGUAACACGUGGAUAACCUACCUAUAAGACUGGGAUAACUUCGGGAAACCGGAGCUAAUACCGGAUAAUAUAUUGAACCGCAUGGUUCAAUAGUGAAAGACGGUUUUGCUGUCACUUAUAGAUGGAUCCGCGCCGCAUUAGCUAGUUGGUAAGGUAACGGCUUACCAAGGCAACGAUGCGUAGCCGACCUGAGAGGGUGAUCGGCCACACUGGAACUGAGACACGGUCCAGACUCCGACGGGAGGCAGCAGUAGGGAAUCUUCCGCAAUGGGCGAAAGCCUGACGGAGCAACGCCGCGUGAGUGAUGAAGGUCUUCGGAUCGUAAAACUCUGUUAUUAGGGAAGAACAAAUGUGUAAGUAACUAUGCACGUCUUGACGGUACCGAAUCAGAAAGCCACGGCUAACUACGUG
rnacentral:rRNA from 1 species